rnacentral:lncRNA from 1 species
GAAAAAAAAGAGAACACCAUUUGUGGAAAAAAACUGACAUGGAGAAAAAAAAGAGAACACCAUUUGUGGAAAAAAACAGACAGAAAGUUAUGAGCCAAAUCAUGAAUAAAGUUGUUUAAAUAAUUUCGUACAUUAUUUAGUGUGUGUUGAUUAAUUCUGUGCAUCUUUAUUCUUCAUGUGAAUUGUAUGGUUAAGUCACCAGGUACAUAGAUCUUAUACGUAGAUUUGGGGUUGGACAUACUCUUUUUGGUUGAGUAUAAGUUGUUAGAUUCUAUUAUAUGAGACAGUCCCUAUAUAUAUAUAUAAUAUAAUAUAUAUAUAUAAUAUAUAUAUAUAUAUAUAUAUUAUGGGAAUUGUAUAUAUUCAUGCCCAUUUUCGUUUCACUAUCCAAAAAAGGUGGUUUCAACCUUAAAUGAAAAAUGGUAGUAGUAGUAGUAGGGUUAGGGCUUCAAUAAACAAUAGUACUACUAUCUGUUACUCUACACCCAUACCCCAUAGUCAUAUUGAUAACUAUAAUGACUAUUACUACGUAGAUUCGUACUACUUACUAUUUUUCUAUAUCCAGUGGUAGUGAAUUAAGUGAUAUUUUUUGUAAAGGGUCAUUGUUACCUUGUAUUUUCAGUGAUUAAAUUUGGAAAGAAAGAAGGGAGUAGAAACAAGAAGUGAAAGGAAGAAUCCACAAGGAGCGAAUUUGAGAUUUGGUUUUCGUUCGAGGUCCAAACGUAGUUUCAAUCGAUAUUUGAUUUAUUUGUUUUUUUCAAAAGAUUGCAAGCGAACUGAAAAUAGUUGAGGUUCAUAUUUAUCUUCUAUUUCGAUAAAUUGGAGAAAUCAUUGGCUUCAUAUUAAAGAUCCAUUUCUUAAGGUUAUUUGACUUAUUUCAUGUUUAUUAAUGUGAUAUUAUCAUAAAGUUGCUACUCUUUUAUAAUGUAUAAUCUUCUUGUUAGUUUAUUAAUUUUUUCUUAUUCUCGUGGGACGUGGCACAACAAUUAUGAUAAGC